rnacentral:rRNA from 1 species
GACGAACGCUGGCGGCGUGGAUUAGGCAUGCAAGUCGAACGGUAUCAUCCUUUCGGGGGUGAGAGAGUGGCGAACUGGUGAGUAACACGUAGGUUAUCUACCCUCAAGACGGGGACAACCCAGGGAAACUUGGGCUAAUACCGGAUGUGAGCAACUUUUAGUUGUUUGAAAGGUGGCGUAAGCUGUCGCUUGGGGAUGAGCCUGCGUCCUAUUAGUUAGUUGGUGAGGUAACGGCUCACCUAGGCAAUGAUAGGUAGGCGGCCUUAACGGGUGGUCGCCCACACUGGGAUUGAGAUACGGCCCAGACUCCUACGGGAGGCAGCAGUCGAGAAUAGUCUACAAUGGUCGGAAGACUGAUAGUGCGACGCCGCGUGAACGAUGAAUCCCUUCGGGGUGUAAAGCUCUGUCUGGAGGGACGAAGGAAGUGACGGUACCUCCGGAGGAAGCCACGGCUAACUACGUG